UACGUAGGGGGCAAGCGUUGUCCGGAUUUAUUGGCGUAAAGAGCGUGUAGGCGGCCAGGUAGGUCUAGCUGUGAAAACUCGAGGCUCAACCUCGAGAUGUCGGCGGAAACCAUCUGGCUAGAGUCCGGAAGAGGAGAAUGGAAUUCCCGGUGUAGCGGUGAAAUGCGCAGAAUAUCGGGAAGAACACCCGUGGCGAAGGCGGAUUCUCCUGGGACGGUAGCUGGACGCUGAGACGCGAAAGCGUGGGGAGCGAACAGGAUAGAAACCCCA
rnacentral:rRNA from 1 species